rnacentral:rRNA from 1 species
GUGAGGAAUAUUGGUCAAUGGGCGGGAGCCUGAACCAGCCAAGUCGCGUGAAGGAAGAAGGAUCUAUGGUUCGUAAACUUCUUUUGCAGGGGAAUAAAGUGCAGGACGUGUCCUGUUUUGUAUGUACCCUGAGAAUAAGGAUCGGCUAACUCCGUGCCAGCAGCCGCGGUAAUACGGAGGAUCCGAGCGUUAUCCGGAUUUAUUGGGUUUAAAGGGUGCGUAGGUGGUUUGAUAAGUCAGCGGUGAAAGUUUGCAGCUUAACUGUAAAAAUGCCGUUGAAACUGUCGGACUUGAGUGUAAAUGAGGUAGGCGGAAUGCGUGGUGUAGCGGUGAAAUGCAUAGAUAUUACGCAGAACUCCGAUUGCGAAGGCAGCUUACUAAGCUACAACUGACACUGAAGCACGAAAGCGUGGGGAUCAAACAGGAUUAGAAACCCCGGUAGUCC